rnacentral:rRNA from 1 species
AGCUCCAAUAGCGUAUACUAAAGUUGUUGCAGUUAAAAGCUCGUAGUUGGAUUUCUGCGUCCGGUGGGACCGCCUGGCCACUAGGCCUUGGCGCGACCGCCUGCGCAUCCUGCCGCGAUCGGCGCUACCCUUAGUUGAGUGGCGUCCGGGACCGGCUCGUUUACUUUGAGAAAAUAGAGUGUUCAAAGCAGGCCAUACGCCUUGAAUAAGUUAGCAUGGAAUAAUGAUAAAGGACUUCGGUUCUAUUUUGUUGGUGUUCGGGACUGAAGUAAUGAUUGAUAGGGACAGUUGGGGGCGUCAGUAUUCUGGAGCGAGAGGUGAAAUUCUUAGACCUCCGGAAGACUAACCGCUGCGAAAGCGUUCGCCAAGGAUGUUCCCU